rnacentral:rRNA from 1 species
UACGUAGGGGGCUAGCGUUGCUCGGAAUUACUGGGCGUAAAGCGCACGUAGGCGGCUUACUAAGUCAGGGGUGAAAUCCUGGAGCUCAACCCCAGAACUGCCUUUGAUACUGGUAAGCUCGAGUCCGGUAGAGGUGAGUGGAACUGCGAGUGUAGGGGUGAAAUUCGUAGAUAUUCGCAAGAACACCAGUGGCGAAGGCGGCUCACUGGCCCGGUACUGACGCUGAGGUGCGAAAGCGUGGGGAGCAAACAGG